rnacentral:rRNA from 1 species
GACAGAGGGUGCAAACGUUGUUCGGAAUUACUGGGCAUAAAGAGCACGUAGGUGGUCUGCUAAGUCACGUGUGAAAUCCCCCGGCUCAACCGGGGAAUUGCGCGUGAUACUGGCAGGCUCGAGGCGGGUAGGGGUGAGCGGAACUCCAGGUGGAGCGGUGAAAUGCGUAGAUAUCUGGAGGAAUACCGGUGGCGAAAGCGACUCUCUGGACGGCAACUGACGCUGAGGCACGAAAGCGUGGGGAAGCAAACAGGG